AUACAGAGGUGGCGAGCGUUGUUCGGAUUCAUUGGGUGUAAAGGGUGCGUAGGCGGUUUGAAAAGUCAGAUGUGAAAUCCCACAGCUCAACUGUGGAACUGCAUCUGAAACUUUCAUACUAGAGUGUGAGAGAGGUGAAGGGAAUUCCCGGUGUAAGGGUGAAAUCUGCAGAGAUCGGGAGGAACACCAGCAGCGAAGGCGCUUCACUGGCUCGCAACUGACGUUGAGUGCACGAAGGCGUGGGGAGCGAACGGGAUUAGAAACCCCAGUAGUCC
rnacentral:rRNA from 1 species